rnacentral:lncRNA from 1 species
GAUACAUAGGAUAUAUUGGCUAGUUUAGUUAAAUGAAAUUGCUAUGGGUAUGAAAGCUUUAAUGUAAAAACAGGCUGAGGUGGUAACUUGAAUGACUACACUAUUUUGCUGGGAAUAUAGUCUAAUCUCAUAAGACCUCUCACGCUUUUGCAGUGUGUGUGUAGAAGCUGAUGAAGAUUGAAGUGUUGGAAGCACAGUGUUCAUGCUGAAGAGUAUGAUAGUCUUCUGUUUCAAGAGGAGGAGAGCCAUCUGCUGUGAUCCAGUCUCUGGCACUGAAGAGGACAGCAGUGACUAAUGAUUAACUAAACUUUGGUCAUCAAAAGAAGAAUGAUGGACGGUGUGAUGGUUGAAGUACAAAAUAACACGAAAGGGACUUCAGUACUGGCAUAAGAGAAAGUAGCCGUAAUGAAGUAGUUGUUCCACUGCAUGAUAAUAGUUAAUACUGCCCUGCUAAGUAUAUAUUUUUGGAGCAUCUAUCUCUAGAUGUGAAUGUGUCAGAAGUUGCUCACAAGCGCUUCAACUAUGUUUCUUGACUGUCCUGGGGGGCUAUGCAGCCUUCAGUGAGAAACAGGGAACAGAAGCCACUUGGGGAAUUUUUCAACUGGUGAAUACCUGCUGCUGUAGAGAGGAUCUCAAAUGUACACCACUCACAAAUCUUAAGAUAAAAUCAAACAGGAUUCUGAAGAUGUAUAAAGAAUCCAGGGUAAUACAAGAAAAAUGUGAAAAGCUCAGCUGGAAAAAUCUUUCUCAGAAUUGUGUGCUGCUUGAACAGUGUCAUCUGAAAGCUAUUGUGGUCUUUUGUGGCAAACUUGGAAAGUGCCUGGUGCAAAAGGUGCGCAUCAACACUCUGUGUUUUGAUUUGAUCUAUUGUUAUUUGAUGAAAUUUAAAGUCAGUUUCCAUGAAAUAAAGUGAUGGUUCUUUUUUUUCAAGGCAUCGUCAAGAUACACCCCAAACAAAUACAGUUAGGUCUUAUUUUUAUUUGGUACUAUUUCCUGCACUGGUCUGGAAUUUAUUCAAAUGUAUUAAGUAAAAUGAUGACUGUACACUAUGCAAAAGGACUGCUGGAGAAUAGAUUAUCUCAUUGUUUUAAAUUGUGAGAAACUGAUCAUUUCAAUCUGGAAGAGACAUCUUAAGUAGGGCUUAUCUGCAAAUGUAAUAAAAUAUUCCUCUGUGUCUGGAGGAAGAUAUGG